rnacentral:rRNA from 1 species
UACGGAGGGAGCUAGCGUUGUUCGGAUAUACUGGGCGUAAAGCGCACGUAGGCGGCGCCGUAAGUCAGGGGUGAAAUCCCGGAGCUCAACUCCGGAACUGCCCUUGAAACUGCAGUGCUAGAACCUUGGAGAGGCGAGUGGAAUUCCGAGUGUAGAGGUGAAAUUCGUAGAUAUUCGGAAGAACACCAGUGGCGAAGGCGACUCGCUGGACAAGUAUUGACGCUGAGGUGCGAAAGCGUGGGGAGCAAACAGG